rnacentral:rRNA from 1 species
AUUGAACGCUGGCGGCAGGCUUAACACAUGCAAGUCGAGCGGAGAUGAGGUGCUUGCACCUUAUCUUAGCGGCGGACGGGUGAGUAAUGCUUAGGAAUCUGCCUAUUAGUGGGGGACAACAUUCCGAAAGGAAUGCUAAUACCGCAUACGUCCUACGGGAGAAAGCAGGGGAUCUGCGGACCUUGCGCUAAUAGAUGAGCCUAAGUCGGAUUAGCUAGUUGGCGGGGUAAAGGCCUACCAAGGCGACGAUCUGUAGCGGGUCUGAGAGGAUGAUCCGCCACACUGGGACUGAGACACGGCCCAGACUCCUACGGGAGGCAGCAGUGGGGAAUAUUGGACAAUGGGGGGAACCCUGAUCCAGCCAUGCCGCGUGUGUGAAGAAGGCCUUAUGGUUGUAAAGCACUUUAAGCGAGGAGGAGGCUACUGAGACUAAUACUCUUGGAUAGUGGACGUUACUCGCAGAAUAAGCACCGGCUAACUCUGUGCCAGCAGCCGCAGUAA